CCUCCCAUUCCUUCCCCCCUUACUCGCACAGAGGUGGCUGCAGGAGAGGCGUGGCAGAGGAGGUUCGUGCAGGGGGUGAUGGUGGUGGGAGUGGGGAGUAAGAAAGAGCAUGGAGGCGCGGGCCGCGGCGGCUAGGAAGAGCGUGUGCGUGACCAGCGCAGGAGGCUUCAUCGCCUCGUGGCUCAUCAAGCUCCUCCUCUCCAAGGGCCACUAAAUGGUCCGCGGAUCCGUCCAUCCCAGCCCCCCGAAGAUCCAACCUCAGCUCAUGCUCGCGCUGCUCCCACCCCACGACGCCGUCUCGUCGAACUGAAAGCCCACGGAUGACGGGGACGAGGUCAGGGUGGAGAUGUGGAUCAUUUUCUUUGGAUCCCCAACUGAAGAGUUUGAAGGAGUUUCUGCAGAGCACCUAGAUGUCAAUGAAUGUGCGUAGAGUCCAGGCCCCUGCCAUGGCUCUGCAACUUGCCACAACACAGUUGGAGGGUUCCAUUAUUCAUGCCCUUUUGUCACCAGUUUUGCUAAGGGAACAAACUCCUGCGCCAAUCAGUUUAUAAGUCAGGAGUUGAGCAGGGCACAAUCUGUGGCAGGACCGCAUUCUCCUACUACCUUGUCUCAAAGCAAAAGAAGCUCGCUGCCUUUGCCUGGAGAGAGCAGAAGUUUCUUUUAUCUAAUCCAAGAUGAUCUAUUCAUGAUUAAAACAGCGAGGAAAUCAGAAGUCGAGUUCUACUAAUUGAAGCCGGUGAGUUGGUGUAUGCUUGAAGUGAGUCUGGUUCUCGCUUCAAUUCCCCCUGUUUCACCUCCAGAUCUACUCAUCGGGAGAUGGAUUCCUUGCAGUGAGAGGCUGGUCUGACGCUGUUGUUGACAAUCAUCCAUACCUAUUCUGGACAUGGACAAAGUACACACAUGUACACACAGCUUUUUUUGAUCCGUUGCAUAUCAAAGCUUCAUUCAGACGAUGGACUGUCUUGCUCUACUUCGAAAUCGAAACAGGGGAAAGACAGGCGGCUGCUGCAGAACAAGGGAAGGAGUAGCAGCUAUCUGCUGUUUCAGUUGUUUAUGUGCGCUGAAGAUUGUUCAUACCCGUACCCUGAAGAAAGAAGCCACAAUAAUCCAUAACUAUUUCUUGAUAAUAAAGUACAUAGACAUAGAUAUAUAGCUCAUUGGCUCCAUCACGUUAGUUUGCUAAAUAAGUUAUAUGGAUCCUUGCAGACACAAGAUAGAUUCUAGAUAUACCUGGAAUAUGUUCAUCCGGGUUCAGUUAAUAAAUGCAUUAGUCAACAUUGUGGUGCAAUGACAGAAUCUGUUGUCCACAACUUCACCUGCCAUAUCCUUAAGGGUCUUGAUUUCCUACAGAGCCAAAAAAUUAUGCAUAGAUCUGGAAAUAGGUUUAAAGGAAAGAUUUAGAAGUAACUGUGGUGAUCCAUGACGCUUUCAAGAUUACAAGUUCAGUAGUGGCAACUUGAACUUAUGUAAGAAUAAACAGAAUGAUUUUUCAUUCUGAAGAGUUUCCUAACUGUUGACUUUAAGCCUUCAUAGUUACAUCGUGGGAUUAUGAAUAAGAUGGUGCUAAUUAUACUUUGAGUGAAUUUCUGGUGUGUAUUAUUCAGACUGGCCCUUGAACUAAAUAAAGAAAAGUCAAA